rnacentral:rRNA from 1 species
GGCGUAAAAGCGUGCGCAGGCGGUUCGUUAAGACAGAUGUGAAAUCCCCGGGCUUAACCUGGGAACUGCAUUUGUGACUGGCGAGCUAGAGUAUGGCAGAGGGGGGUAGAAUUCCACGUGUAGCAGUGAAAUGCGUAGAGAUGUGGAGGAAUACCGAUGGCGAAGGCAGCCCCCUGGGCCAAUACUGACGCUCAUGCACGAAAGCGUGGGGAGCAAACAGGAUUAGAUACCCUGGUAGUCCACGCCCUAAACGAUGUCAACUAGUUGUCGGGUCUUCAUUGACUUAGUAACGUAGCUAACGCGUGAAGUUGACCGCCUGGGGAGUACGGUCGCAAGAUUAAAACUCAAAGGAAUUGACGGGGACCCGCACAAGCGGUGGAUGAUGUGGAUUAAUUCGAUGCAACGCGAAAAACCUUACCUACCCUUGACAUGGUCGGAACCCUGCUGAAAGGUGGGGGUGCUCGAAAGAGAACCGAUACACAGGUGCUGCAUGGCUGUCGUCAGCUCGUG